UAUCUAGACUCUGCCGGCUGCCCCGCCCCUCUCGAGCUGGAGGCCUUCUGCCAGCGGCAGACACAUACACAAAAGGUUCCAGGAAGACUGUCAGUUAUUUAUCAGAAAUGCAUUGCAAAGGAUCCCUUUUAUCUUUCCUCCAAAGAGGAAACAGACACGAUGGAAUUAUUCACUGAUAAAGUGCCUUUCAUCCGGAGUGAGGGCUGACAUUCAUGCUGGAUCAUUUGAAGAGAAAAGGAGAAACAGAAAUGGCGCUCAACACUGCAGCACAGCCUAAGAACAAAGACAUCAGACAGCACAGACGCAGUCGUGGGAGCUACAUGCGAGUGGUGCACGGCUGGGAAUUGUAGGUGGAUAAAAGCGGAAAGCAAAAGAUUUGAGAAGUCAAGGUCAGCUAACCGAGUGCAUCGGUUUGUAGCUGCACGGCGCCACUCUCUGGUGAAACUGUUGCUUUGUUGCUCAUAGUGUGAACAUCGCACGGGUGCGCCUCCGCUUUACCCCUGUGAUGCUGCUGAGCUGUGAUGUCAUAUCGUAUGGAGGAGGAAUCAACUGGGAGGACUCGUAGUUCUUGCUUUCACGCUCAAAUCAACAACUUCUGCCUUGAAUGUUGUUUUUGUUUGCCAGGAGCCCAUUAGCUGCCCCCCACACCGAACAUACCUCCGAUGCCUUGCGGACAUCCUGAAGGGCAGCGGGGUCCAAGAAACCCCCGUGGACGCCGG